UCAAGCCAUGCAGGAUUAUAGACGCACACAUGUCCACACGCGCACACAGACUCAGAUUUGCCUCUAUCCACUGUCCUCUAGCUACCCAGUCCUCCUCAAAGGUGCUGUUCUUGUCUAUCCUUUCAGAGAUGAUCAGCGCAGUUUCCUCACUUCUAAAUUUGGUAAUUCCGCUGUACUUGGGAUUUUGACAAGUUUUCCACCUGCUAAGAAAGGGUGACCUGAAGCCCGUGUCUUCCUAAGUUUUGAGCUAAAGGAAAAGGAAAUGCAAGAGACAAACGAGAAACUUGUCACAAGAAACAAAGGACACUGGGAAGAAAAGGCACGAAAGGAAAAGAGCACAAGCAGGGGAAGCAGCAGAGGGAGAGAAGCAGGCUCCCUGCUGAGUAGAGAACCCAAGGACUAUGACGCUGGGCUCAAUCCUAGCACCCUGGCUGGGAUCAUGACCUGAGCAGAAGGCAGACUCAACCAGCUGAGCCACCCAGGCACCCCUUAGUGGAAUGUGAGAAGUGAUGUCUGCCACGACCAGAUCUUUUCCUCAAAGAAAUUGGCAUGCCUUCAACCUGUUUUUUCCUCUAAUCUUCUGGUCUGGAUACAAAAGUGAUGGCGGAGGCAAGAACCCCCAGCUUGGACCCAGAGACAAAAGCCACAUAUUGAAGAUGGCAAAGCCUCUUUACCAGCCCAGAACGACCUACUUGGACUAUUAGAGAAACUAUAGAAGCCACAGAUGGCAGCACUGACUUCCCUAAAAUCAUAUGGCAAAAGGAAAAGCCAGUUCCAGCUCUGCUGUUAUUCCUUCACUACUGUUCAAUAAGCAGUCUUUGGAAAUAAAAACAAAAGUCACUGUUAUCUGACAAAGAAAUAGAAAAGAUGUAGCUCUACUUAGUUUCAAUGCCUGAUCUUGUUGCCUGGUCCUCUUCUGUCAUCUGACUGCUAUGAAUUGAUAUUUUUAGAAAUGUGAAAUUUCCCGUUUGAAAUGUGGUUCCAUUUGCAUAGAUGUUAAUAAAAGGUAAAGUCUGGGUUGUAGUGAUAUUGAUGUAAUCCACCAAUACAAUAUGUAUUGUAUUGUGAAAGCGGUCUUUUUUUUUAAGAUUUAUUUAUUUUUAUGAGAGAGAGAGUGCAUGUGCCCAUGUGGGUGCAAGCAAGUAGGGAGGGGGCAGAGGGAGAAGAAGGAGAGAAGCAGACUCCCCACUGAGGAGGGGGAGCUCCAUUCCAAAACUCCAUGAUGUGGAGCUCCAUUCCAAAACCCUGACAUCAUUACGUGAGCCAAAAUCAAGAGCUGGACACUUAACCUACUGGGCUACCAGGCCCCCCUUGUGAAAGCAAUUUUGAUAUUAACUAAUAAUAAUGUUAUUUCAUUUAAAAAAUUAAAAUGGUGUUUCUUUCAUG